CCUACGGGUGGCAGCAGUGGGGAAUAUUGCACAAUGGGGGGAACCCUGAUGCAGCGACGCCGCGGGAGUGAAGAAGUAUUUCGGUAUGUAAAGCUCUAUCAGAAGGGAAGAAGAUGACGGUACCUGACUAAGAAGCCCCGGCUAACCACGUGCCAGCAGCCGCGGUAAUACGUAGGGGGCAAGCGUUAUCCGGAUUUACUGGGUGUAAAGGGAGCGUAGACGGCAGGGCGAGUCUGGAGUGAAAGCCCGGGGCCAAACCCCGGGACUGCUUUGGAAACUGCCAUGCUAGAGUGCUGGAGAGGUAAGCGGAAUUCCUAGUGUAGCGGUGAAAUGCGUAGAUAUUAGGAGGAACACCAGUGGCGAAGGCGGCUUACUGGACAGUAACUGACGUUGAGGCUCGAAAGCGUGGGGAGCAAACAGGAUUAGAUACCCCAGUAGUC
rnacentral:rRNA from 1 species